AUAAGUUAAUAAGGGUGUAUGGCGGAUGCCUAGGCUCUCAGAGGCGAAGAAGGACGUGACAAGCUGCGAUAAGCUUCGAUUAGGCGCAAAUAGCCGAUUAACUCGAAGAUUUCCGAAUGGGGCAACCCAACUAUCAUAAGGUAGUUACCCGAUUUAUCGGGGGCAAACCCGCUGAACUGAAACAUCUAAGUAGGCGGAGGAAGAGAAAACAAUAGUGAUUCCCUAAGUAGUGGCGAGCGAACGGGGAACAGCCCAAACCAAAUUGGUUCCGGCCAAUUUGGGGUUGUAGGACUGCAACAUGAGAUUAUUUAAGAAAUGGAAGGUUCUGGAAAGUUCCAUCGUAGAGGGUGAUAAUCCCGUACAUGUAAUUAAAUAUGAUCUAGCAGUAUCCUGAGUAGCGCGGGACACGUGAAACCCUGUGUGAAUCUGGCAGGACCAUCUGCCAAGGCUAAAUACUCCUGAGAGACCGAUAGUGAACUAGUACCGUGAGGGAAAGGUGAAAAGCACCCCGAACAGGGGAGUGAAAUAGAUCCUGAAACCGUACACCUACAAGCGGUCGGAGCAGCUAUAUUCUGUGACGGCGUGCCUUUUGCAUAAUGAGCCUACGAGUUACUCCUCACUAGCGAGGUUAAGUGAUUAAGUCACGAAUCCGAAGCGAAAGCGAGUCUGAAUAGGGCGUUUAGUUAGUGGGGGUAGACGCGAAACCGUGUGAUCUAUCCAUGGCCAGGUUGAAGUCUCGGUAACACGAGAUGGAGGACCGAACCCGUUGACGUUGAAAAGUCUUGGGAUGAGCUGUGGAUAGGGGUGAAAGGCCAAUCAAACUCGGAAAUAGCUCGUACUCCCCGAAAUGCAUUUAGGUGCAGCCUCAUUAAAGUGUCAUAGAGGUAAAGCUACUGAUUAGGCUAGGGGGCUUCACCGCCUACCAACCCUUGAUAAACUCUGAAUGCUAUGACAUGAUUAAUGGGAGUGAGGGCAUGGGUGCUAAGGUCCGUGCCCGAGAGGGAAAGAACCCAGACCUCCAGCUAAGGUCCCCAAAUAUAUGCUAAGUUGACCAAACGUGGUCCGACUGCUAAGACAGCUAGGAUGUUGGCUUGGAAGCAGCCAUUCAUUUAAAGAGUGCGUAACAGCUCACUAGUCGAGCGGUUGGGCGUGGAUGAUAAUCGGGCAUAAGCAUAUUACCGAAGCUGAGGAUUCUACUACGUAGAGUGGUAGGGGAGCAUUCCAUCGACGCUGAAGCAGAACUGCGAGGUUUUGUGGAGUUUAUGGAAAAGCAAAUGUAGGCAUGAGUAACGAUAAUGCGGGCGAGAAACCCGCACACCGAUAGACUAAGGUUUCCUGAUCAACGCUAAUCGGAUCAGGGUUAGUCGGGACCUAAGGCGAACCCGGAAGGGGUAGUCGAUGGACAACUGGUCAAAAUUCCAGUACUUCUUUUAACUGCGAUGUGGUGACGAAGAUGUGAAAGUACCGCGUACUGACGGAAUAGUACGUUGAAGGGUGUAGAUGUUGAUCUGAGUAGGUAAAUCCGCUCGGAGAGUCGAACCUGAAAGUACCGUGAGCCUUCGGGCAAGCGGAUAGUGUACCUAAUCAAGCUUCCAAGAAAACCCACUAAGCUCUAGGUUAAAAGAACCCGUACCGCAAACCGACACAGGUAGUCAAGGAGAGAAUCCUGAGGUGCUCGAGUGAUUCAUGGCUAAGGAACUAGGCAAAAUAACCCCGUAACUUCGGGAGAAGGGGAGCCUACUUCGGUAGGCCGCAGAGAAAUGGCCCAAGCGACUGUUUAUCAAAAACACAAGGCUUUGCGAAAUCGAAAGAUGAAGUAUAAGGCCUGACACCUGCCCGGUGCUGGAAGGUUAAGAGGAGAUGUCAUCUUCGGAGAAGCAUUGAAUUGAAGCCCCAGUAAACGGCGGCCGUAACUAUAACGGUCCUAAGGUAGCGAAAUUCCUUGUCGGGUAAGUUCCGACCUGCACGAAUGGUGUAACGACUUGGGCACUGUCUCAGCCAUGAGCUCGGUGAAAUUGUAGUAACGGUGAAGAUGCCGUUUACCCGCAACGGGACGGAAAGACCCCGUGCACCUUUACUAUAGCUUAACAUUGUUCUUGGGUAAGUGAUGUGUAGGAUAGGUCGGAGGCUUUGAAGUGGUAUCGCCAGGUAUCGUGGAGCCAACCUUGAAAUACGACCCUUUGCUUAUCUGGGGGCUAACCCUUAACGGGGGACAGUGUUUGGUGGGUAGUUUGACUGGGGUGGUCGCCUCCAAAAGUGUAACGGAGGCUUCUAAAGGUACCCUCAGCAUGAUUGGUAACCAUGCGCAGAGUGCAAUGGCACAAGGGUGCUUGACUGUGAGACUGACAAGUCGAUCAGGUAGGAAACUAGAGCAUAGUGAUCCGGUGGUUCCGUAUGGAAGGGCCAUCGCUCAAAGGAUAAAAGGUACGCCGGGGAUAACAGGCUUAUCGCUCCCAAGAGCUCAUAUCGACGGAGCGGUUUGGCACCUCGAUGUCGGCUCGUCACAUCCUGGGGCUGGAGAAGGUCCCAAGGGUUGGGCUGUUCGCCCAUUAAAGUGGCACGCGA
rnacentral:rRNA from 1 species